rnacentral:lncRNA from 1 species
CUUGUGGUUAUAUAUCAAAACCAACGACUAACCAGAAAUAUGUUUGCAGUAAAUAAGCCCUUCAGGAUAAUGAAUUUAUCCUCUGAGAAGAAGAAAGAAGUUGUGGCAGGGGGGGCUGGUAGAAUUGGAAAUAGAAGGAGAGGGAAAGGUUAGAAGUAGGGCUAGAGGACAUAGGAAGAUCACGUAAACUUUGGGAAACCAGUGAACACAGGAGGAAAAUAGACAAGGAAGGAACAAAAACAAGAACAGAACAAACUAACAGUAACAGGAAAACUAGACUCUGUAUUCACUCUCAUAGGAAUAAGGACCAUCAAGAAAAAGCAAAACAGGAGCAAAUAGGAAUAAGAAAGGAGAGAAAUGAAGAAGAAGGAGGAGGAGAGGAAGAAGAGAGAGAGAAGAAAAGAAAGAAUAAAAAGAGUUCUUUUCAGUUCUUUGAUCGAGAUGAGAAGAACCUAGAAACCAACUCCAGAAGGUGAAUCGAGUAACCCCAAACUUGGUAGUGUUUAUUUGGUGAGUUAUUUCUAGAAGGGACUACCUGGUAACAUCAUCAUCAUCAUCAUCAUCAUCCUUUGCUGUAUUGUGGAGUGAAUCCAAGGGCUCUGUAACACUGAGCUACACCACAAC